GGGGACGUAAGAAAGCGACCCAGGAAUGCUUGGGCGUGCCUCCACCCACGCCGGCGUCGGCGGGCGUAUUUCGCCUCACAGUAGGUCGCCGCGACCCGUUGCUUUUGGGGACGUCGAAGGCCCGGACGGAUUGGUACCCUACCGGCUGGGGAUGCGGCUUCGGCUUCUCCUCUUGUCCGGUGGGCGAAACCGCCGGUGUCCUGGCUGCCCUGCGACGGUCGUAGAGACGAGCCCUCCCCAUUCGUGGGGGGCGGCUCUCGCGGCGUGCAAAAGGUCGGUGAUCCACCCGACCCGUCUUGAAACACGGACCAAGGAGUCUAACAUGUGUGCGAGUCAGUGGGCGCACUAAACCCAGAGGCGUAAUGAAAGUGACACGGGUUCGGCUGUCGCCUCGUGUGGCAGCCGGACUCGGGGCCGAUCCCUCACCGGUUGCCCUCGCCUCUCUCCCGCGUCUCGGUAAGCCGGGUGAGCUAUUUUCCCCGGCCAAUGCUGCGGGGCUCGGGAGGCGGCGGGGUUGCGAUGGUGUCCGUAAAAAAGAGCCUGCUGUUGCAGGGGGGCGCAGGCCCGGGACUUGCCAGGACGCCGCGAGACUGUCACUUUGCUGUGAGGCUCCAGGGCCGAUCAGCGGGUCAUGCGUGCAGUCGGCAAGUACCAUGAGCAGACAUGUUGGGACCCGAAAGAUGGUGAACUAUGCCUGGCCAGGAUGAAGCCAGAGGAAACUCUGGUGGAGGUCCGUAGCGAUUCUGACGUGCAAAUCGAUCGUCGGAGCUGGGUAUAGGGGC
rnacentral:rRNA from 1 species